rnacentral:rRNA from 1 species
UGGGGAAUAUUGGACAAUGGGGGGAACCCUGAUCCAGCCAUGCCGCGUGUGUGAAGAAGGCCUUAUGGUUGUAAAGCACUUUAAGCGAGGAGGAGGGUACUGGUAUUAAUACUACCAGGUACUGGACGUUACUCGCAGAAUAAGCACCGGCUAACUCUGUGCCAGCAGCCGCGGUAAUACAGAGGGUGCAAGCGUUAAUCGGAAUUACUGGGCGUAAAGCGCGCGUAGGUGGUUCGUUAAGUUGAAUGUGAAAGCCCCGGGCUCAACCUGGGAACUGCAUCCAAAACUGGCGGGCUAGAGUAGGGCAGAGGGUGGUGGAAUUUCCUGGGUAGCGGUGAAAUGCGUAGAUAUGGGAAGGAACACCAGUGGCGAAGGCGACCACCUGGGCUCAUACUGACACUGAGGUGCGAAAGCGUGGGGAGCAAAGAGG